GCCUCCAUCGUCUAACGGUUAGGACGCGGCCCUUUCAAGGCUGAAACAGGGGUUCGAUUCCCCUUGGGGGCA
rfam:Elusimicrobia bacterium RIFOXYD12_FTLL_66_9 rifoxyd3_full_scaffold_4133, whole genome shotgun sequence.